rnacentral:rRNA from 1 species
UGUUCUAGAACCACUGGUGAAUAAGGGGUGGGCAAGUUCUGGUGUCAGCCGCCGCGGUAAAACCAGCACCUCGAGUGGUCAGGAGGUUUAUUGGGCCUAAAGCAUCCGUAGCCGGUUGCAUAAGUUUUCGGUUAAAUCUAUGCGCUUAACGUAUAGGCCGCCGAAAAUACUGUGUAGCUAGGGAGUGGGAGAGGUACACGGUACUCGAUAGGAAGGGGUAAAAUCCUUUGAUCUAUUGAUGACCACCUGUGGCGAAGGCGGUGUACCAGAACACGUUCGACGGUGAGGGAUGAAAGCUGGGGGAGCAAACCGGAUUAGAUACCCGGGUAGUCCCAGCUGUAAACGAUGCAGACUCGGUGAUGCAUUGGCUUGUGGCCAAUGCAGUGCCGCAGGGAAGCCGUUAAGUCUGCCGCCUGGGAAGUACGUACGCAAGUAUGAAACUUAAAGGAAUUGGCGGGGGAGCACCACAAGGGGUGAAGCCUGCGGUUCAAUUGGAGUCAACGCCAGAAAUCUUACCUGGGGCGACAGCAGAAUGAAGGUCAAGCUGAAGACUUUACCAGACAAGCUGAGAGGUGGUGCAUGGCCGUCGCCAGCUCGUGCCGUGAGAUGUCCUGUUAAGUCAGGUAACGAGCGAGACCCCUGCGUCUAGUUGCUACCAUUACUCUCUGGAGUAGUGGAGCGAAUUAGACGGACCGCCACAGUUAAUGUGGAGGAAGGAAGGGGCCACGGCAGGUCAGUAUGCCCCGAAACCCUAGGGCUACACGCGGGCUGCAAUGGUAUUGACAUGUGUUCCGAAUCCGAAAGGAGGAGGCAAUCAUUAAACGAUGCCUCAGUUAUGACUGAGGGC